CUACUUACUAGGACCCUUAGGGGUCCAUAUGGAUAUUCCUCUACUCGUAGACACAGUAUCAAGUUUUGACAAUUAACCCGGUCGUCUCCAUAUCCCGUCCGGUAAUGGGCGCCAAAAACAACAUCGCCUCGAUACCUCGUCCUGUAUGAGGGUCAACCAUAUCUCCCAAAAUGCUUCCGGUAUAGGACUUCUCAGCCCCAUUCGACUGAGGUAAUAUCCACGGUAAAGUUUCCUAUGUACCAGGUAUGUCCACCCUUUCCCAGGAUGCCCAGUAAGCUUUCAUUUAUUUAGAUUCUCAUCAACCAAACAACUACCAAAUCAUACCAACGUCUCGUUUCAUAUUCACCGAUUAAUUAAACGGUAUUUAAGCAAACGAUAUAGUUUAACAUAACCGAAUAAUCAAGUAACUAGAUAACCAAUUAAAUAAUGCAGGAAAAAUCAAAUAAAC
rnacentral:lncRNA from 1 species